rnacentral:rRNA from 1 species
CCUACGGGAGGCAGCAGUGAGGAAUAUUGGUCAAUGGGCGAGAGCCUGAACCAGCCAAGUCGCGUGAAGGAUGACGGCCCUACGGGUUGUAGACUUCUUUUGUCAGGGAGCAAUUGAGUCCACGUGUGGGCUUAGCGAGAGUACCUGAAGAAAAAGCAUCGGCGAACUCCGUGCCAGCAGCCGCGGUAAUACGGAGGAUGCGAGCGUUAUCCGGAUUUAUUGGGGUUAAAGGGUGCGUAAGCGGAAUAUCAAGUCAGCGGUAAAAAAUUGGGGCUCAAACCCGUCGUGCCGUUUAAACGUAUGGUAUUGGGGUGGCGAGAAGUAUGCGGAAUGCGUGGUGUAGCGGUGAAAUGCAGAGAUAUCACGCAGAACUCCGAUUGCGAAGGCAGCAUACCGGCGCCCAACUGACGCUGAAGCACGAAAGCGUGGGUAUCGAACAGGAUUAGAUACCCGUGUAGUC